rnacentral:rRNA from 1 species
GACAGAGGGUGCAAACGUUGCUCGGAAUUACUGGGCGUAAAGCGCACGUAGGCGGCUUUGUAAGUUAGAGGUGAAAGCCCGGGGCUCAACUCCGGAACUGCCUUUAAGACUGCAUCGCUUGAAUCCAGGAGAGGUGAGUGGAAUUCCGAGUGUAGAGGUGAAAUUCGUAGAUAUUCGGAAGAACACCAGUGGCGAAGGCGGCUCACUGGACUGGUAUUGACGCUGAGGUGCGAAAGCGUGGGGAGCAAACAGG